UACGUAGGGUGCAAGCGUUGUCCGGAAUUAUUGGGCGUAAAGAGCUCGUAGGUGGCCUGUCGCGUCGGCUGUGAAAACCCGGAGCUCAACUCCGGGCCUGCAGUCGAUACGGGCAGACUGGAGUUCGGCAGGGGAGACUGGAAUUCCUGGUGUAGCGGUGAAAUGCGCAGAUAUCAGGAGGAACACCGGUGGCGAAGGCGGGUCUCUGGGCCGAUACUGACGCUGAGGAGCGAAAGCGUGGGGAGCGAACAGG
rnacentral:rRNA from 1 species